rnacentral:rRNA from 1 species
CCUACGGGAGGCAGCAGUAGGGAAUAUUCCACAAUGGGGGAAACCCUGAUGGAGCGACGCCGCGUGGAGGAUACAGUCUUCGGAUUUUAAACUCCUGUCAUGCAAGAGCAAGGCUGUCAAAAGCUUGAUAGUAUUGCAAGAGGAAGAGGCGGCAAACUCUGUGCCAGCAGCCGCGGUAAU